rnacentral:lncRNA from 1 species
AUUAAUGCAGUGAUAGACGGUGGGUGGGAAAGAAAAGUAAAGAGAUGCGAGCAGGUUCCAGAGGCCAGGGGCUGCUCACUGGAAGCAUCUGGGGGAGACUGAAAGAAAUACUGAUGGCACAGACACUACUCCAGGUAUUUUCAGGCAGAUACAUUUGGUUGAGAAAGAGGAAAUAUAUGGUACCUAACAGCAUGGGUUCUGAAGCCAGAUUGCCAGCAGAGCCAUCUUGGCACUGUAAAGGGAGCUGGAAGAAAGAUGGAAACAAUGAUGACACUGUCAAGUUGAAGAAUUAACCAACCCUGAAGCGCCUACCUCUGGACUUGUUAUACAAAACAGUGAAUUUUUCUUAUUGCUUAAGCUAUUUUGAGUAGGAUUUUCUGUUAUUGUACUUGAAAACACCCCACUGAUUGAUAUUUCUGGAGCAUGUAU